CUGGGAGCGGCGCUGCGGAGCAGCCGGGGGGCGGAAGGAGCGGAGCGAGCCCUCUGCUGGCUGCUGCGCAGGGCUAACAACAGUACCUCUUAACCUGACACAGCCCAAAUGUGGGAUGGAAUGUGUGACAGAGACAGAAUUGGGGACACAAAAAUAUUCAUACAGGAGUAGAAGGGAUUUUAAUGUCUGAAGAGGGAGAGAAAUGAAUCAGCAAAUUAUCCUGGAGAUGGAAGACAGACACUGUACAGCAAGAGCAAACCUCAGAGCAGGGAGGCCAACGCUGGAGUGAAGGUUAUCCAGCAAGUUCUUCGCCUUAUGUUCUGAUUUGCCUCCCCCAGUCUACCAGCAGCAGCCAGUUGGAGAAGGAAUUUCAGAGCUAGUACAAUAUCUACACUUAUGCAGCAGAACCUCAGAGUUAUGAAUUGACCAACCACGCACCUCAUUUGGAACUGUAAGUACACAAUCAGGCAGCAACAGAGACAACAAAGCAAAUACAGUACAGUACUGUGUUAAAUGUAAACUAUUAAAAAAACGGAAAGCAGCAUUUUUCUUCUGCAUAGUAAAGUUUCAAAGUUGUAUUAAGUCAAUGUUCAGUUGUAAACUUUUGAAACAACCACCAUAAUGUUUUGAUCGGAGUUACGAACAUUUCAGAGUUACAAACAACCUCUAUUCCAGAGGUGUUUGUAACUCUGAGGUUCUACUGUGUUCUGCCUUCAUAUGCACCUAUAUUCAGAGUUGUUCCCAGAUUGUGAUACCUUUACUCCAUAAGUAGUUCUAUGGACUUUAGGAGCAUAAGUUGUGGUUUGCAACACUACUCAGUGUGAUGGAAGAUCUUGAGUAAUCUGACCCCCUAGUGACUGAACAAAAAAUUAAGUGCAUUUUGAAUGGUUUUUCCCUCUUAAAUUUUACCCCUAAUAAAAUAUGGUCACCUCAGUUAAAUACAUUAUACUGUCAUCUUUUUUUU